rnacentral:lncRNA from 1 species
GAUGCCUGGAUGCACAUGAUCCUUUUCUAUUUGGACUGGUUCUCUCCCUUCUUUGGCCGGUGCAGCUUCUUCAGCAGGAGAAUGGGUGGACCCAACAGUCUCCACCUCUUGUUUUUCUCCAGCUGAAGACGGAAGCUGUGAAGAUUCAGGUUGUUCUGAAGAUUCAGGUUGUUCUGAAGAUUCAGGUCGUUCUGAAGAUUCAGGUCGUUCUGAAGAUUCAGGUUGUUCUGAAGAUUCAGGUUGUUCUGAAGAUUCAGUAGUACCUUCUGAACCUUUUUGCCCCAUAAAUGCUAUGGCUGAAGGCCAUAAUCCUGAUGAUACUGGCAUUAUAGACAGGAAACCAAAAAUUAAGUCAAUCCACAACCCUUUUCAUAUAAGCAAUGGGAUAUCAAGA